UACGAAGGGGGCUAGCGUUGCUCAGAAUUACUGGGCGUAAAGGGCGCGUAGGCGGCGAUGUUAGUCAGGCGUGAAAGCCCUGGGCUCAACCUGGGGACUGCGCUUGAUACGGCAUGGCUAGAGGAUGGAAGAGGGUCGCGGAAUUCCCAGUGUAGAGGUGAAAUUCGUAGAUAUCGGGAGGAACACUGGUGGCGAAGGCGGCGACCUGGGUAGAUACUGACGCUGAGGUGCGAAAGCGUGGGGAGCAAACAGG
rnacentral:rRNA from 1 species